UGUUUGCAGACACAGGAAAGGGCCAGAAGGCUCACAUGAGGACAAGGCCCCUGCUGGAGCUCGGUCCUGUUGACCAGCCGUGUGACGUGCUGUCAGCAUCACCGUGUUUACACGAGGGAUUAAAUAAAUAGUCUCUGGGCAGCUGCUGGUUUUACUGCCCGCUUUUCAGACUCAGAAUGAUGUUCCAGAAGAGCGAGACUCUGACCCAGUAUAUUGAGCAGAAGCAGCUUGGAGCACUGGGACUGGAACAAAGUAUGUGCCCAGUACCGGAGACACGUGGACAAACCCACAAACGACUGAGCGGAUUACAGAUGCUCAGCUCGUGCCGAAAGGAAAGUGCUCACACGAGUGCAAAACCAGACCCUUGUUUGCAGGACGCAGAUGAGAAAACAGCACGCACUCUCCUCGGAGAGCUUGCGAACCUCACAUGCAUUUAACAAGCGGGAAGUGAAGGGAGAGAGAGAGGAAACAGUCACGCAGAGGAAACGGGAAAGGCAGGACUGGAAGUAGCUGUUUCCUGCAUUGGUCCAUUAGACCGUGGCUCUGAGCGUGCCUCCUCCGAGUGGCCACCCCACAGUCUUAAGUUCCUGACGUCCCGGGCGUGCGUCCUCUUCUCCCUCAUCCAUGUCCCUGCCGUUUAAGGACCCUUCUUCCCGAUGAAGAGGUGCUUCGGGUUCCCCUCGCUCUGCUGCUUGAGGGGAGCUGCUGAUCGGGGCAUUGAGGAAGGGUUCUGAGAGUACCAGGUAUGGGGGACAAGGUGGGACCGCGCAGCUGCAAAACAGGAGGCAGCAGACGUCUGUUCAUGGGGCCGUCACAGCAACACCUGCUCGUGGGCUCAUCGGAACAAUCGAUUCCGGCUUCAGAAAACAGGGCGGCCACAAGCACACCAGGUGCAAAAUGAGCCCAGGUGAGGAAACGAGAGCUACCAGCUGGGAAUCCCUGUGAAAACCAGAUAAUUGGAUAGCUCUGCCACCCUCACUUUGUGGCAAGACAAACCUGCAGUGACCUGAUAGCCUGAGAAAGGAUUUCCCGAGGCUUGAGCUCAUGAAUCAACGACAAACCCCAGCAGAGGCUAAGGGAGAUCGUUGUUCAGGCUGAUGGUGUGUUUCCUCUGCUGGACACGGCUACCAAAUUCUAGAAAGUGUAAGGAAGCAAAGAGGCCGCUGCAGAACAUAGAGGUAUUUUCGCAGGAAGUAAACUACGACAGGAAACUUGAUGUGGAUGCUGGCAGCAUAAGAAGCGUGGAAUGGACGUGAAGUUGCUGUGAAGUAACUGAAGCUGAGAGAACUAGUUUUGCUACUUGACUGAGUAAACCGGGCGAGCCGCUUCAUUGCCCAGCCCGCGACGUCUUCCUUUCCGGUUGUUGUUGAGGUGUGGUUGAUCUACAACGUGGUGUUAGUUUCAGGUGUACAGCACAGGGUUCCACACAUCAGUGUGCACACCGUGCUCUUCUUCAGACCCUUUCCCCUGGGCUCCUUUCUUCAGUCACUUCAUUCUUAUCUUCAACCCUCUGCUUUCUGGUCCUUACUGUUCUCUAUCCAGAAUCAUUACGUCUGUUCUACAUGGAAAGUCACCCCCUGCUUCCCCGCAAAAGCUGUCAGACAGGAGAGGAAGUGACAGAUUUCUCACCUACUACCAAGAAGGGGAAGGCGCUGAGGCCAAAAUGAAUCAGCACCUAAAUGAGUCAUGAGUGUCCGCGUUCCACCUGUAAAUUCAGCCGCGUGCCUCACCCAUUUGCCUUGGUUUCCUCUUCCUCCACGGGCCCCAGGAAGGAGACCAUUUACUGCCCUGACGUAGGGCUCUGUUACACGGUCACUCCAUUUCCCAAGGGUCUUACUUCGACCCUGUCUGGCGGUGAAGGGCCCUGACUGCACUCAGGCAACGCGGCAAUGAAUGGGUCGCUUAUCGAAGUCUGCUCUCUCCUCCUCGUGGUCUCCGGAGGAGCUGUUACUUGGCAUCGCUUCCUACAGUUGCUCCAUUAAGGGGGUGUCACCAGGUCAACCACAAGGACCCUCACCUCUGAGAAAAUGGCAUGUUGUCAUUACACAACUGGCAUUUACAGAAACCAUCAACACGGCAAAAUAGGGCAUGGCUGUGUGGACAGCAAACAAACAGGAGUCAGGAGUCUGGGAGAGGUGGGUCUGAAUCUCUGCACCUCUUCUAUCAGCCUGUUUCCUCACCCGGAAAAUGGGGAAACAGCAGUAUUUCCCUCACAGAGUCACUGCAAGGAUGAAGAAUGCACCUUGCACACAGUGCGCUUCCUGGCAUCUCGCUUGUGUUUAUAGGUAGCUUCCCAGCUUUACAGUUUUACGAGUUAGCCCGGCUACCCUGGCAGCAUCGAGAUGAGGCAGGUGAGGGAGCUUGACUGUCACCCCCAUUUCACAAAACAGUGAAAUUGGAUCAGACGGAUGAGCUGAUCUGCACCUGCUCACGAAGCAGGUGGCGGAGCCGGCACUGAACCCCAGGGUCCCGGGGCCUCCGAGAUGCACGCUCACUCUCAUAGUGUGUCAGACUGUUGUGUUGAUAGAAACCUCUUUUAUGACUCACAUAAAAGGAUUCUACUUGGUUCUAGCACCGACCACAUGAAGCAGGUGGGCUAGACGUUGCUUUGCAAGUUGACAAAUGAAGGCAGUAGAGCGGCAGGGACCCAGUGGGCGGCCUCUCACCCAGUUACCCGCCCAGGGAACCAGCCCGCAGCUCUGCCCCGAGAAACAAAGUCCUUCUUGAACCAGCACAGAAUCUGGUGUUUCAGUUAGUUAUCCCUGCCCUAAAGACCUUCAAAAAUUAACUAUUUUCAGUCUACAGAAGGCAAUUCCAGCAAGUCCCUCCCGGAAUUUCUUAAGGGGCCCUUUGUGAGCAAAGGUGGGGAGGACAAGCUGCCUAAUAAACGCAGUCUGGAGACGCCACCUGGUCUCGGCUCCGCUUUGCAGACACUGGAGGUGGAGGCGACGGCGGAGGCGCAGGGAGGGUGCGCACUGGCCCCGGGCCACCUGCGCGGCAGCGCGGGAGGGUCCCCGACGACCCUUUGCAGACCCAGCCGGGCAGGGCCGCCCCCGCCCGGGAGAGGAGACGCUGUGGCGCCGUGGGAGCGCUGGUAAUUCUGCAACCAGCAGAUGGAAGGGCAGAGAGAGAUCACCAGGAACCCUCUCAUUGGAGAAGCGUCAGAACUGGCUUUGAUGGUCAAGUAAGGGCUCACCUCUGGUGAAAAGUAUCCAUCACGUCUGGCUCAGUCACCAGCGAUGCCGCGCCUGCAGCCAGCACUGCCUUAGACUCCCAGUUAUCUGACACCAUUCGUUUCCUUUGUUUAAGUCAGUUUGGGGCAAAAGCAUCCCUGGACAUAAUGAGGGAAAGAACGGAACCAAAGAGCAUAACAGACAAGCACCUUUGUCUGAGCCUUAAAUAGAAAAACACUGCUGGUGGGAAUGCAGUUUGGUGCAGCCACUGUGGAAAACAGUAUGGCAAUUCCUCAAAAGACUAGGAAUACACUGACCAUAUGACCCAGGAAUCCCACUCCU